CUGACCUUCUGACAAUUCAUCAGAAGGAAGAUCCUCUCCUACCAGACCAUGGUUGACCACAGGAGCCAGAGAUCACAGAGCAGAGAAUUAAAAUUGCCUUCUCCUCACUGGAACCUGAGGUAGUUGAAGAGGUAUUUGGUUGAGAAGUCAGACCGAGUGGCUGAACGUUCAAGAGCACCUGUUUAUGAUUGCUUUUUGCCUCCAGGUACUGUCCAUUUCCAGAAAUAACUAACUCAUCCAAAGACGAUGAUCUUUCUACCCUGUGAUCUCAACAAAGACCACAGACUCUGCUUAAACGGGCUGUGAGUUGUGGACCUCACUGCUUCCAAAUGGAUACUUUUCAAAGGCUGAAACCAGAUGGCCAGUUCUACUUGUCACUGCAUCUAGCACAUUCUGAGUGGUUGGCCUGAAAAAUGAUACGCUUGCAGCGUAUUCCAGUCCCAUCCUCUUCUCCUCUGCGCUUAUACCCAAGUCACGUAAAGAAACCACUUACCCCACCAAAGACAUGCUCACUUUCUAGGACUCAAAUUUUAGGGAUUCUUUUAUCCCUGACCACCAGACUACAUUGACAAGAUGUCAGAUUCUGCUGAACUCCAAUACACACAGGUUUGCUUCUUUAUCCCUUAGGCAACUGUCAUAAUUUUUUUUUUAAAUAUACACAUGCAAAAAGGUGAAUUUAAAACGUUCUCCUACAAAAGU